CCUACGGGAGGCAGCAGUGGGGAAUAUUGGACAAUGGGGGCAACCCUGAUCCAGCCAUGCCGCGUGUGUGAAGAAGGCCCUCGGGUUGUAAAGCACUUUCAGUGAGGAAGAACGCCUGGUGGUUAAUACCCAUCAGGAAAGACAUCACUCACAGAAGAAGCACCGGCUAACUCCGUGCCAGCAGCCGCGGUAAUACGGAGGGUGCGAGCGUUAAUCGGAAUUACUGGGCGUAAAGCGCGCGUAGGUGGCUUGAUAAGCCGGUUGUGAAAGCCCCGGGCUCAACCUGGGAACGGCAUCCGGAACUGUCAAGCUAGAGGGCAGGAGAGGAAGGUAGAAUUCCCGGUGUAGCGGUUAAAUGCGUAGAGAUCGGGAGGAAUACCAGUGGCGAAGGCGGCCUUCUGGACUGACACUGACACUGAGGUGCGAAAGCGUGGGUAGCAAACAGGAUUAGAUACCCGUGUAGUC
rnacentral:rRNA from 1 species